AUUGAACGCUGGCGGCAGGCCUAACACAUGCAAGUCGAGCGAGCGGCGGACGGGUGAGUAAUGUCUGGGAAACUGCCUGAUGGAGGGGGAUAACUACUGUAAACAGUAUCUAAUACCCCAUACCAUCAGAUGUGCCCAGAUGGGAGUAGCUAUUAGGGGGGGUAACGGCUCACCUAGGCGACGAGCCCUAGCUGGUCUUAGAGGAUGACCAGCCACACUGGAACUGAGACACGGUCCAGACUCCUACGGGAGGCAGCAGUGGGGAAUAUUGGACAAUGGGCGAAAGCCUGAUGCAGCCAUGCCGCGUGUGUGAAGAAGGCCUUCGGGUUGUAAAGCACGUUCAGCGGGGAGGCGUUACCCGCAGAAGAAGCACCGGCUAACUCCGUGCCAGCAGCCGCGGUAAUAC
rnacentral:rRNA from 1 species